ACUCCUACGGGAGGCAGCAGUGGGAAUAUUGGACAAUGGGGAACCCGUAGCAUCCAGCCAUGCCGCGUGUGUGAAGAAGGCCUUCGGGUUGUAAAGCACUUUCAGUGGGGAGGAAAGGUUGAUGGUUAAUACCUAUCAGCUGUGACGUUACCCACAGAAGAAGCACCGGCUAACUCCGUGCCAGCAGCCGCGGUAAUACGGAGGGUGCGAGCGUUAAUCGGAAUUACUGGGCGUAAAGCGCAUGCAGGCGGCCUGUUAAGUCAGAUGUGAAAGCCCGGGGCUUAACCUCGGAAUUGCAUUUGAAACUGGCAGGCUAGAGUCUUGUAGAGGGGGUAGG
rnacentral:rRNA from 1 species